rnacentral:rRNA from 1 species
UACGUAGGGUGCAAGCGUUGUCCGGAAUUAUUGGGCGUAAAGAGCUCGUAGGCGGUCUGUUGCGUCGGCUGUGAAAACCCGGGGCUCAACCCCGGGCCUGCAGCCGAUACGGGCAGACUAGAGUUCGGCAGGGGAGACUGGAAUUCCUGGUGUAGCGGUGAAAUGCGUAGAUAUCUGCAGGAACACCCGUGGCGAAAGCGGCGAGCUGGACCACUACUGACGCUGAAGAACGAAAGCUAGGGGAGCAAACAGG